CACAGCCGGAACUAUCAUUCAAGAUACGAUGCACCGAAAGAGCAGGUGACUAACUACUGCCAGAACUAUCGUUCAAGAUACGAUGCACCGAAAGAGCAGGUGACUAUGGUAAUAUACUGUUUAGUUCAGCAGCAAGCUGCAGCCAACUUGCUCACCCCGAAACCUGGCUACAACAUGUACAUGAUUCCGUAGGGUGGUUUCAGGACAGGACAAUUAUGAAAGGCAAAAGAGCAGGACGAAAGCAGCCUGAAAGCAGCCCUAAGCUAGUAUCUACUGCAAGAUCUUCCAUGCCAUCCAGCAAAGUGACAACAUACCAACAGACAUCAGCAUGCAG
rnacentral:lncRNA from 1 species